rnacentral:lncRNA from 1 species
UUCAAUGCGCCAUAUUGAAGAGGACGGGUCUAAUAGAUCGCUGGAGACACAAUUUAACUGAACCCCGCCCGUUGUGGACUGACUUUGAUGCUCUGAGUCCCUCCCUCCUUCACGCCGCUAGCAGGCCCUGAUGUAGAUUGCCUUUGUCUUACUUGGGACGUUUACCUGAGCGCUUGGUGCUGGUGUCGGGACCGGGAGAUAGGAGUGUCUCAGGAGAGACCUGGCCGAAAACCGCGAGAAAGAAAAGUGAAGCCUAGUGAAACUGCCUUUGCAGUGACUCAAGAAAAACUCAUCACCUGGAGUCCGUGUAAGCUCGGCGACAGCCCUAGCAGCGAGGCCAAAACAGUUUGGGAAGAAAGAAAACCUAAAGUAUUUGCCGUUGGUGAUUCAAGGGUGAGUUGGGAGUAUUUUUUAUUUCACUGACUUGAAAAUAAGAUUGUGGGAUUUUAAUUAUUUCUUGUUGCCGUUUUCUGUUAACGGUGAUUGCUCCCAGCACUUUGGGAGGCCCGGGCGGCUGGAUUGCCUGAGGUGAGGAGUUCAAGACCAGCCUGGCCAACAUGGUGAAACCCCGUCUCUACUAAAAAUACAAAAAAAAAAAAAAAUUAGCUUGGCGUGGUGGCGGGUGCUUGUAAUCCCAGCUUCUCGGGAGACUGAGGCAGGAGAAUCCCGUGAACCCGGGAGUUGGAGGUUGCUGUGAGCCGAGAUCGCGCCACUGCACUCCAACCUGGGCAACAAGAGCAAAACUUCGUUUAAAAAAAAAAACAAAAUAUGUAUAUAUGACUUUUCAUCUACACUUGGAGAAAAUUUUUAUAAUGACUACAUAAUGGCAAAAACAUUGUAUUUGAGAAUCUACGUAAUAAAGAAGUGAUUUUUAACAGAUUUUAUUUAACUUAUUGAGACCGUAAACCACCCGUGCCUCCCAGUCACAGACAGACAGAUGUGAGAUAAUGUAGGAGGCUCAGGGGAUUCUGAGUAUGGACAUUUCUUAUUUUUGGGCUUUUGAAUGGUUACCGUGGUUUGUCAAUGAAAAUGGAAAAGAAGGAUUUCUUUUCCAGGCCAGGCACAGUGGCUCAUUCCUGUCAUCUUAGCAAUUUGGGAAGCCGAGUCAGGCAGAUCACCUGAGGUUAGGAGUUUGAGACCAGCUUGGCCAACAUGGCAAAACCCUGUCUCUACUAAAAAUACAUACAUUAGCUGGGCAUGGUGGUGGGCGCCUGUGAUCCCAGCUACUUGGGAAACUGAGGCAGGAGAACCACUUGAAUUCAGGAAGCAGAGGUUGCAGUGAGCCGAGAUCUGCGCCAUUGCACUCCAGCCUGGGAGACAAAGCUGAGACUCUAUCUCAAAAAAAGAAAAAGAAAAAAGAAGGAUUUACUGUGGGUCUUUUUUUCUUCUCGGAUGUUGAAAUGCGU